CACGAUGCUCUUCAGUUUAGGGGCAAUUAACAUCACUACAGACUGGUGGCAGUUGAUGGAUUUGCACAAGAAGAGAGAACUCACAGAACUAGCACUAUUUACGCUGUCUUUACGGAGGUGUAUCUGGCUGUUUUGUCAGACAUUC
rnacentral:snoRNA from 1 species